GGUGGCUCAGUGGCAGAGCACUUGCCUUGUAUGCAUGAGGCCCUGGGUUCGAUUCCUCAGCACCA
rnacentral:tRNA from 1 species